rnacentral:rRNA from 1 species
UGGGGAAUUUUGCGCAAUGGGCGAAAGCCUGACGCAGCAACGCCGCGUGGGUGAUGAAGGUCUUCGGAUCGUAAAACCCUGUCGUCAGGGACGAAGGUCGGGUCGUGAAUAGCGGUUCGGCUUGACGGUACCUGGAGAGGAAGCCCCGGCUAACUCUGUGCCAGCAGCCGCGGUAAUACAGAGGGGGCAAGCGUUAUUCGGAAUUAUUGGGCGUAAAGGGCGCGUAGGCGGUUUUUUAAGUGAGAUGUGCAAUCCCCGAGCUUAACUUGGGAACUGCAUCUCAGACUGGAAGGCUAGAGUACUGGAGAGGGUGGUAGAAUUCCACGUGUAGCGGUGAAAUGCGUAGAGAUGUGGAGGAAUACCAGUGGCGAAGGCGGCCACCUGGACAGUAACUGACGCUGAGGCGCGAAAGUGUGGGUAGCAAACA